CCUACUAAGCUCAAACCAGAUGAGGUGGCGUAUCGCUGCAUGCUGUAUCGAAUGCUGUGGUAGCCAUGCUGGUUAAGUGUGCCUUGAAUUCUAAAUAAAUCACAGACAGUGUCACCAGCAAAGCAUCCCCAACCCAUCACACCUCCUCCUCCAUGCUUCACGGUGGGAACCACACAUGCGGAGAUCAUCCGUUCACCUACUCUGCGUCUCACAAAGACACGAACAUUUAUCAAUCCUGUGAACGUUCCACAAAUUGUGCUAUACUUUUCCUGGAAAAAGUAAAAGGAAACAAAACUGGUGAGUAACAAACUGGUGAGUAAUUAAAAAACAGUCUGAUAGACUAUCUAGGCUAGAGUCCCAAAUGGCACCCUAUUCCCCAUUUAGUACACUAAUUUUAACCAGAGCCCAUAAGGAAGUAGUGCACUGUGUAGGGAAUAGGGUGCCAUUUGGGACGAAGCUGUUCAAGUCAUGCGUAUACACUAUAAAAUACAAAGUCAAGUCUAUCGAUGGACAAUAUCAAACAACAACAGAACAAUUAGAGAAAUCAGAAUAUAACCUACGUUUUAUUUGAAAGUAUUUCGUUUUUUUAUUCCCAUUAGCUACAGCCAAAGCUGCAUCUACUCUUCCUGGGAGCCACACAAAACACAAAAUACAUCAUAUUAAUAGUAAAUUACAGCUGAAGGACAGAACUACAUAAAAUGACAUAAUACAUAAUAUUAAUAGACUGGUACAGAACUACAUACUGUACAUUUAAAAUAAGAAUACACAUUUUCAUAUUCUUAUGCCUUAGCAAUCCAAACAACAUGUACUCAUAAUAACAGCUACACUGCAGUCAUCCAUUUUGUUACAUUUGCUUACUGUUACAUUUUCUGGUCCUGAUCCUAACCUCUCAGAACCAGUUGUUCUGUAAACACUAGGAAGAAUUUCACAACAUUAAGAGCCACCUGUGUCCUUGGUUCUCCCAUUUGACGUCAAGACUAUUAAUAAUAAUGUGAUUCAUAGAUGUUAUGGAAUGCAAGUGCAACGAAAACAACAAUGGAAAUCCAACAAUUCCUCUAGCUAAGGCGUCAACCACAGUUUUCACCCUAGCAACCGUGCUAUUCCGCUCAUAAAUGAGCUACAGAUGGAGUUUUCUUCCCGUUAACGGCUUCAAUUUAAUCCCUUACCUCAGCAACCAUGUUGGAGUUUCCUCCAGAUAAAGUUUGAGGACCUGAGCCCUAGGACCAUGCCUCAGGACUACCUGGCAUGAUGACUCCUUGGUCUCCCCAGUCCACCUGGCCGUGCUGCUGCUCCAGUUUCAACUGUUCUGCCUGCGGCUAUGGAACCCUGACCUGUUCACCGGACAUGCUACCUGUCCCAGAUCUGCUGUUUUCAACUCUCUAGACAGAAGGAGCGGUAGAGAUACUCUCAAUGAUCGGCUAUGAAAAGCCAACUGACAUUUACUCUUGAGGUGCUGACUGGUUGCACCCUCGACAACUACUGUGAUUAUUAUUAUUUGACCAUGCUGGUCAUUUAUGAACAUUUGAACAUCUUGGCCAUGUUCUGUUAUAAUCUCCACCCGGCACAGCCAGGGAAGAGGACUGGCCACCCCUCAUAGCCUGGUUCCUCUCUAGGUUUCUUCCUAGGUUUUGGCCUUUCUAGGGAGUUUUUCCUAGUCACCGUGCUUCUACACCUGCAUUACUUGCUGUUUGGGGUUUUAGGCUGGGUUUCUGUACAGCACUUUGAGAUAUCAGCUGAUGUAAGAAGGGCUAUAUAAAUACAUUUUAUUUUAUUUUAUUUGAAUUUAAUCCUUUACUUUAGCUACAUACGUGGACUUUUUUGAGAUCCAUCACUCCACUCUGCUCAAUAAAUUGAACAAAAUCAUAAUUAUCAUCAGAUGGGCUUCACUUACGUCCUUUGCUCUAUCUAGUGCAUAGAAAUGUAGAACUUAACCCAACAUUUACAGUGUUACGGUCUACCGCCCAUAAAGGGUUAACUGAGGUAUAGUGUAAUGUGUUACAGUCUAACACCCAUAAAGGCUUAGCUAAGGUAUAGUGUAAUGUGUUACAGCCUACCACCCGUAAAGGGUUAGCUAAGAUAUAGUGUAAUGUGGUACAAUCUACCACCCAUAAAGGGUUAGCUAAGAUAUAGUGUAAUGUGUUACAAUCUACCACCCAUUAAGGGUUAGCUAAGGUAUAGUGUAAUGUGUUACAAUCUACCACCUGUAAAGGGUUAGCUAAGGUAUAGUGUAAUGUGUUACAGUCUACCACCCAUUAAGGCUUAGCUAAGAUAGUGUAAUGUGUUACAGUCUACCACCCAUUAAGGCUUAGCUAAGAUAGUGUAAUGUGUUACAGUCUACCACCCAUUAAGGCUUAGCUAAGAUAGUGUAAUGUGUUACAG
rnacentral:lncRNA from 1 species